rnacentral:rRNA from 1 species
GACGAACGCUGGCGGCGUGCUUAACACAUGCAAGUCGAACGGAAAGGCCCUGCUUUUGUGGGGUGCUCGAGUGGCGAACGGGUGAGUAACACGUGAGUAACCUGCCCUUGACUUUGGGAUAACUUCAGGAAACUGGGGCUAAUACCGGAUAGGAGCUCCUGCUGCAUGGUGGGGGUUGGAAAGUUUCGGCGGUUGGGGAUAGACUCGCGGCUUAUCAGCUUGUUGGUGGGGUAGUGGCUUACCAAGGCUUUGACGGGUAGCCGGCCUGAGAGGGUGACCGGCCACAUUGGGACUGAGAUACGGCCCAGACUCGUACGUGAGGCAGCAGUGGGGAAUAUUGCAGAAUGGGCGGAAGCCUGAUGCAGCAACGCCGCGUGCGGGAUGACGGCCUUCGGGUUGUAAACCGCUUUCGCCUGUGACGAAGCGUGAGUGACGGUAAUGGGUAAAGAAGCACCGGCUAACUACGUG